rnacentral:rRNA from 1 species
UACGGGGGGGGCAAGCGUUGUUCGGAAUUACUGGGCGUAAAGGGCUCGUAGGCGGCCAACUAAGUCAGACGUGAAAUCCCUCGGCUUAACCGGGGAACUGCGUCUGAUACUGGAGGGCUUGAGUUCGGGAGAGGGAUGCGGAAUUCCAGGUGUAGCGGUGAAAUGCGUAGAUAUCUGGAGGAACACCGGUGGCGAAGGCGGCAUCCUGGACCGACACUGACGCUGAGGAGCGAAAGCCAGGGGAGCAAACGGG